rnacentral:rRNA from 1 species
UACAGAGGGGGCGAGCGUUGUUCGGAAUUACUGGGCGUAAAGGGCGCGUAGGCGGCCCGCUAAGUCGAACGUGAAAUCCCCAGGCUCAACCUGGGAACUGCGUCCGAUACUGGCAGGCUUGAAUCCGGGAGAGGGAUGUGGAAUUCCAGGUGUAGCGGUGAAAUGCGCAGAUAUCAGGAGGAACACCGGUGGCGAAGGCGGGGUCUCUGGGCCGAUACUGACGCUGAGGAGCGAAAGCGUGGGGAGCGAACAGG